rnacentral:lncRNA from 1 species
CAGAACUUUGGCUCAUGCUACAAAUAUGGCCAAUAACUCUUCCACGUAUGGCGCAUGAUUCCCCUGACUGCAAGGAGGUGCCAAUUAACGACUUUUCAUCUUCUGUUCAGAUUGCCAUUGCAUUCCCAGACAUGGGUGCUAAGAGUCUAACUUUGGAUCUCUGACAAGUGGUUAAAUGUCAGCUCCCCAAGGAAGCCUUCUCCAACUGCUGGCAGACGCCAAGCUCCCUGCUUUACUUCACUUGUUGCUCUCUGCCUUUAUAACAUUGAACACAGCUGUCCGUGAUUAAAUAUUUAUUUGUGUAAUAUUUAGUCAAUUCCUCCCCUUCUCUCCUCAAACAUAUCUGUUCUCCAUGUCUGGCAGAGAAGAGAUAUUCAAUAAUUAUUUGCUUAAUGAAUUAAUGGCCUUUUGGUGUAUGUCCUGGGGUCAGUAUUUCUCAGCUUCAAUCCCUCGUAACUUCCUCAUCCACAACUACUGACAAUUCGAGUAUCUGUGCCAAAUCCAAAUUGUCUAAUUUAGUUAUAUUCAGCAUACUCCUAAUGGAGCCCAGAUGGAAAGUGGGCUCUUUCAAGUUCAAAGAAUUCUGAUCAUAAGGGUUGAAGUAUCAGGGUUUCUCAGAUAAACAAAAGUCCAAAGAACUAAAGCAUCCCAUUCUCCAAGUAAUUUGGUUUUCAAUGUCAUUAAGCAGACACUAUUCCCUCUGAUCAAUACCAUAAUAUCUCAGCCUCAGUUGACAAAUCAGCGUUAGGUUGCUGUCAGAUUCCACUAAGAACUAUGUGCACCUUCACUUGUCUAAGGUGCCACUGGGUCCAUCCAUCCAUCAUAAGGAAUCUUUGCCAUUUAAGGAGUGAUGUCGAGGCCGAGGCGGGUGGAUCACCUGAGGUCAGGAGUUCGAGGCCGGUCUAGCCAACAUGGUGAAACCCCGUCUCUACUAAAAAUAGAAAACAUUAGCCGGGCGUGGUGGUGCGCCUGUAAUCUCAGCUACUCUGGAGGCUGAGGUAGGAG